GAAAUGGCUGAGGAACAAAGAUCUCGCUCGAAAGAGACUCUUCACCUAUACAAUUGGAAUAACUAACUUACCCUUACUUAUCUCGUUACUCAGAGAAGUCCCUCUCGGAGCUAUUCCCCGGUGCUGUGUCCUCUUUCUCCUUACUCUGGGAAUGAAGCUGUAAGCCGAACAGAAUUCGGACUUGAUUGCUUAUUUCAUUCCAUCUACAAGAGCAAUACUUAAUAGGCUAAAGCAGGAACAAGGGGCGCAAGCAGUCUUUAGAAGUCUAAACUAAGGAAGACUUAUGAACCACUUAGGAAGGAUAAGAGCCAUAGCUACAAAGCAAAAGAAGUUGUCGGAGGCGAUGCUACUCACCUCAGUCUCUCUGGCGGCAUUAGUUACCAGAUUCAUUCAGUGACAG
rnacentral:lncRNA from 1 species